GAUGAAGAACGUAGUGAAAUGCGAUAAGUAAUGUGAAUUGCAGAAUUCAGUGAAUCAUCGAAUCUUUGAACGCACCUUGCGCUCCUUGGUAUUCCGAGGAGCAUGCCUGUUUGAGUGUCAUUAAUAUAUCAACCUUCUCUUUUUUGAGUUGUUUGGAUGUGGGGGUUUGCUGGCCUCUUAAAUGAUUCAGCUCCCCUGAAAUGCAUUAGCAGAACAACCUGUUCAUUAGCGUGAUAAUUAUCUAUGCUAUUGAAGGUGAGGGCAGUUCAGCUUUCUAACCGUCCUUGGACAAUUCAUCAUUAAUGUGACCUCAAAUCAGGUAGGACUACCCGCUGAACUUAAGCAUAUCAAUAAGCGGAGGA
rnacentral:misc_RNA from 1 species